UCCAGCCCCUGGCCCGGCCCGCCCUUGCCUCCCGCCGCGCCCACUAGUCCGGGUGACUGGCUGGGCGCGCUCGCGGCCCCACCCGGGCGCCUGGAGACGCUCCAGGGCCACUCGCCCGGCAAGGCUUGGCAGCCUGCAGCAUCUCGGGACAGCUGUCCUGGUCCGCGGCGGCCCUUGCCACCACCCUCCCCUCUUAGUUCAUUAGAGCUGGCGUCUGCAAGCUGGGCUGGAUUGUCCCGAAGGCCCUCCGCGCCCGCGGACCUUACUGAUACAGCGGCCCAGCCCCUGCAACAACUCUGAGCCCUGGGCAUCCUGCAAGGCGGAGCUGCGGAGGAGGGCAGGCCUUGUUUGGUUACUCUGGGUCCUGCAGGCCGAGCUGGCUCACCUCUCAGGCUCUGGUCCUGCGUCUCUGCUGGGUUUUUUUCCCCACUUUUGUUGACACUAAGUAAAUUAUCAAACUCUGAGACCUUUGUCAAUAGAGGCGUGGCUUUACAGGACAAGAUCAAGGAGGACCAAGACUGGACAUCUGGAGACUGAAGGCAACAGAAUGAGGGGGAGCAACGGAAAAAAACUGGAGGAAAGUGAAGAAGAACCUCCAGACCACAGAAGAUGCUCAAAGUUGGAGAGAGCCUUGGAACAGAGAUCAGUACUCACAUUACUAGAAAAUGAGACCCAGCUGUAUGGGAACAUUUCUAGGAGUCCUAUCAGGGUACAUUCCUGGGAGUCUCAGAUCCAACCUCCUUUCUCAGAGGGGAGUGGCUGACACGGAGAGAAGAAUCCACCUGACGCUGAAAUUAUUUUGAAAAAUUUUAAUGGAGGAACAAGAAUACUGGGUUUAAAGCAUGAAAUUUAUUGCUGGUUAGAGUUAGCAGCUUUCCUAGAUUGACUUUUUUUUAAAAAGUCAAAUUAAAUGCCCAAGAAUAAAAGACUCAAAUCUCAACUGUUCUUUUUAAAUAAUAUUCCCCAGCUGGACUCUGAAGAGAAGACCCUUCAAGGUCAGAUAUGGUUUCUAGGCCUCUGAGUGUACUAUAAACAAUAACACCAUAAAUCUGUACAGAUUAACUUGCAAAGCAUUUUCAAGCUAUUACUUCAUUCAGUCCUUUUGAUCUUAACUGAUAAAUGAGAACUCUUGUGUACAAGGCAAUUCAGUGACUUGCCUAGGUUUACACAGUAACCUGGACAGUGGUGGCACAGAUCUGGGAUUCGUCCAAAGCUCUUUCUGCUGCCCCAAACUGUCACCAUCCUGUGCUCCAUCAUCCCUGGCUAUUAGAAUGCAUGUAUCAGGAAGGAUUGAAAUUUGCCUCGUUAUGGUAGUAUAACCAGAGCCGGCUCAGUACUUGGUGUAUACUAAGUACUUAGUACAUUGUUGAAUAAAUUAAUUAAUCUAAAUUUGGUCUAGCCCAGAAAGAAACAGUGCCUCCCUGAAUGGUCUGGAUGAACCCAUUUUUAGAAAUUAAGCCUAAGUGACUUUGUAGCUUAAGAAAUGAAAUAUUCUUUGUGGAAUUUUCUAAACUCCACAGGUGACUGAGGUAACUUGAAUGUUUUAAGAUGGGAUGUUAUUCUGUAUGAAAGGAGGGGGUGAUCUCAUGAAGAUUAUAUUAUUAGCCUGUCACAGAAUCACAUGCCUCUAUUUUUAUUUUUUUCUGCAAGUUUUAUUAUUUUUCAAAUUAUCAUUCAUGUCGAGCAGUGGUAUAAAUCUGUCAUCCCUACAAUGUGAGUAAUACACAUUUGAGUAAAUAUUGCAUUUUGAAAUACAGCAUUUCUAGAUCUCUGAUCCAGAACAAUGAUCAUUUACAUGAUUGGUCUUACAAUCUUAGCAAAACACCAGUUUAAAUUAUUAGUCAACAGUCAUUGUUCUUGUUCUCCCAACUAGACUGUAAAUUCCUUUAGAUGGUGACCUGUGUGACUUCUUUAUUUUCUAACCCUCUCAUGACAAAUGAAUAGCGAAGCCUAAAGACAAAUUUCUGAUUGCAAAUUAAAUCAGAGCUCAGCAUGCUUGAGACACAGCUCUUAUAUGAUUUGAAAAUGCUCAUGAGAGAAUUUUCUUUUUAAUUUCUCUUGGUCCAACUUAACAGGUAUGGCAGCUGGCAUGGAAUUCUGUUUGAUCUAACUCAUCAGAGUCUUUCCUAAGAAUUAUAUAUGUAUAUAUAAUUGUUUUGUCAUGAAACUUUUUGUUAAUAGGGCAAUAAAUGUAGAACAGAAUUGA